rnacentral:lncRNA from 1 species
AAGAGCGAGAUUAUUUUCAACUCUAUGAAAUAUCGACUUCAGGGUCGAAGUUAUUUUCAGCUCUAUGAAAUAUCAACUUCAGAAUCAAAGUUAUCUUCAGUUCUAUUAAAUAUCGACCUAUAGAUCGAGAUUAUCUUGAAGUUCUAUCAAAUACCGACCUAUAGGUCGAGAUUGUCUUGAAGUUUUAUCAAAUACCGACCUCAA